AUCCUUUAUAAACGGGUCCUCAGCUCGUCUUGCUCAGACAUUAAUUGUGCUCCUGAAUCUGGUUUUGAUUGUUGGAAGAGGAUCAGCAGCUCUCCAGACUGCAGCCAUGCCGUCCUGUUUGGACUCAGGGUUUCUCCUCUCAGCCUCCUGCUGCAGAUCGGGACCGACGCUGCUCCUCUGGAACCGGGUCAUGACCUGGUGGACGACGUCAGCGCCAGCGCACCAUGUUGGGGACUCUGUCUGAACGGAGGUGGAAACACAUCUCCCCCUGAAGGUUGAGGUUUGGGACCAGGACCGUCUCAUCUCCUGGACUCAUUAUCCGACCCAGGGAACCCGGACAGCUGGAGGUGAAACAUUCCCUGACCUCUGACCCCGGCCUUACUGGAAGCAAAUGUGAGCUGUACCAGUAAAAUGCUUAGAGGACAGACCUCAGUCACAGUGAGGUUUAAAUAAAUGACUCAAAGGGUUUUUAUGGUGAUGAAUGUGCCGUUUUCUGAUCUGUUAAUCAGAGUGCAUGCUAGCAUUGUGAACACCUGUUUUAAACAAUCA